rnacentral:rRNA from 1 species
GACAAAAUAAAAGCUGUCUCUGUUAUAAAAAUAUAAUUUAACUUUUAAGUGAAAAGGCUUAAAUAAUUUAAUGGGACGAUAAGACCCUAUAAGCUUUAUAUUUUUUUGUUUAAACUAUAAAAAUUCAGUUAAAUAUUUUUAUUCGAAAAAUUUUUGGCUGGGGCGGCAUGUUUAAAAAUUCUGUUAACUUUUCUUAUUUUAACCACAUAUAUGUGAAAAUAAUAGAUCCUUAAUAAUGAUUUAAAGGUAAGUUACUUUAGGGAUAACAGCGUUAUUUUUUUUGAGAGCUCAUAUCGAAAAAAAAGAUUGCGACCUCGAUGUUGAAUUAAAAACUCUGUAUAGCGCAAAAGCUUUACAAGAAGGUCUGUUCGACC